CCUUCGACGCCUGCUUUUCCCAACAAUGAAACGCAGAAGUCUCAAAGUGUCGGAUUGUUCGCCUGCCAAUAACGUGACCUGGGUUUAUACCGUCGUGAGACAGGUU
rnacentral:ncRNA from 1 species